rnacentral:rRNA from 1 species
UAACGAAUAUUGGGCAAUGGGCGAAAGCCUGACCCAGCAAUGCCGCGUGCAGGACGAAGUCCUUCGGGAUGUAAACUACUGUCCAGGGUCCGCAAGCGAAGGGGUCCAACAGGCCCUUGAGUUGAACAGCCCCAGAGGAAGACUCGACUCACUCUGUGCCAGCAGUCGCGGUAAGACAGAAGAGGCAGGCGUUGUUCGGACUCACUGGGCUUAAAGCGCGUGUAGGCGGCUUAUAAAGUGUCGUGUGAAAUCCCGCGGCUCAACCGCGGAACUGCACGGCAAACUACUGGGCUUGAGGUCGGUAGAGGUGGCUGGAACUCUAGGUGGAGCGGUGAAAUGCGUAGAUAUCGAGAGGAACGCCAGAAGCGAAAGCGGGGCACUGGGCCGAUUCUGACGCUGAGACGCGAAAGCGUGGGGAGCAAACA